CCUUCUUGAUCCUCCAGCAGUUUUUAUUGACCUUGUCCAAGAACUGCAGCUCAUCGUUGUAGUUCCGACUCAUGGUGGCGGCGAAGGCGGCGGCAGCUCGCGACUCGGCUCGGAACGAGAAGCCGCCGCGUUGUCUACCGGCUCCGUGGAGCCGCCUCUGAGGACUCAGGGCGCACGCGCGUCCCGCUCCGCCGCGGGAGGGAGGAAGGCAAGCGCCGAGGCUCAAAACUCGUCGCGCAAAUCGCGGUCCUCUCGUUACGAUGUCUUCUAUGAGCUAAAGCUGAAGCACAUUGUUUUUAGUGAGAUCUAGCUAAACUACCCUUCUGGUAAGGUCUCAGUAUUUAGCCUUGCCGAGCCUGGAACUCACUAUGACUCGCUGGAACAUGCUGGCCUCGAACUUCGUAAGAUCCACUUGCUUAUGCUGCUGCGAAUAAAGGCGUGCUUGGAAAUGUUUUUAAGCAGCCCCCGAAAACCCUUGAAUCUGGAUCAGGUCAACUGCUCUAGAGAAUCCAUAGCUUGUAGUUCACAGCCCCACUACUGAAGCAGUUGAGCUACAAAAAAUACUAAGGAACAGCACAUUUGACUUGCAAUGUUUCAGAAUGGAACUGUGGACACACAACAAACAUUUUCUGUUACAAAUGCCUGCCCUGCAAUGCCCUGCAAAGGUGAAUAAAUUACAGCUGCUGUGAA